AUAAAAAAAAAAGAAAAAAAAACCCAUAAAAUUAGUGCAAUAAUCAAAUAGCUACCUCUAGUAAUUAUUCUUUUAAAAUUUUUGGAUAAAUUAUAUUAUAUGCUGGUAUGACUCCUAAGUUAGUUAAAUAUAGUUGUCCAAGUACCAUCUUUAUGUUCUUGAUGUAAGUAACUAGAGAUAUACUUUUAAGCAUGCAGCAAGAUCGUCAUUAUUGGCAGUUAGGGCUUUGACAACAACUACUCGUUAUAAAUAGGGUUUGAAUAUUUGGUUCUUGCAUCAUCAAUU
rnacentral:misc_RNA from 1 species